rnacentral:rRNA from 1 species
UACCAGCACCCCGAGUGGUCGGGACGAUUAUUGGGCCUAAAGCAUCCGUAGCCGGUUCUGCAAGUCCCCCGUUAAAUCCAGCUGCUCAACAGAUGGGUCGCGGAGGAUACUACAGAGCUAGGAGGCAGGAGAGGCAAGCGGUACUCAGUGGGUAGGGGUAAAAUCCGUUGAUCCAUUGAAGACCACCAGUGGCGAAGGCGGCUUGCCAGAAUGCGCUCGACGGUGAGGGAUGAAAGCUGGGGGAGCAAACAGG